rnacentral:lncRNA from 1 species
UAAUAUUGAGCUCUUUGAAGUCAAUCAUGCAUGCAGUUGGCACCCUCCCUUUUCAACUCCUGCACUCCCAUCUCCAUGACUUUUCAAAUAUUUAUUUGGAAAUAAUGCCCUAGAUUGUUAUUAAAGUUUUUCAUGGCAUGGCUGAAUUCUCUGAUUGUUUGAAGAAAUUAUGGAAUAGUAUUUUUAAGUGUUUCAUUUAAACCUAUGAUAUAAAAUUAAAUGCUUGUUCUGAGCAGUUUUGGUAUUGUUCAUUCAUAUUGAGCUGCAUCUCCUCGUUGCAUGUUUUAUGUUUUUAAACAUGCCAUAAGGAAAACAAGUGCUUGAAAUGCAUGAUUUAUUAGUUUCUCUCUCCAUUCUGCAUUAAAGUACUAAUGAUUUUCAGUUCUGUUUUUCUAUUGAUUCAUUCAUCUUUGAAUUUUGUUCUUUGAUUGGAAGACUCAACUGAAUGUUGUUAUAGCAAAUAACUACUCUCCAGCAAUGUGCUAUCCUGGAAGAUUAUGUCUAAAGCAUUUUCUUUUAGUGUUUCAGGAACAUUGGA